rnacentral:rRNA from 1 species
UACGGGGGGGGCAAGCGUUGUUCGGAUUUACUGGGCGUAAAGCGUGCGCAGGCGGUUGGUUAAGUCUGAUGUGAAAGCCCCGGGCUCAACCUGGGAAUGGCAUUGGAAACUGGCUGGCUAGAGUGUGGCAGAGGGGGGUGGAAUUCCGCGUGUAGCAGUGAAAUGCGUAGAUAUCUGGAGGAACACCGGUGGCGAAGGCGGCAUCCUGGACCACGACUGACACUGAAAAGCGAAAGCCAGGGGAGCAAACGGG